rnacentral:ncRNA from 1 species
UAAAAAGUGAUGAAAAGCAGGAGUACUGAUUUGAAGUUUCAGCGAGCGUUCUGGUGAUGUGACGAACGUAACUUAACAAUCAGGAAAGUAGGCUUGGAGCGAUGGCGGCGACGAAAGAAGUCGUCAUUGACUGCCCUCAUUAUCGGGCCAGCGAAUCUGUCAAAUUUAUUUGACACGCUCGCAAGGCUGCUGUAACUUAGCGGCAAAAACAAGGUGGUACCGUGCAAUCUCAAUUGCGCCCUUCGA